AUGCAGUAAAUAUCUACACUUACUGUACAGCUGAGACCUUCGGGGCCGACAAAGAUGUGCUGUACCAAGUAAACUUGUCUCAACAGCUACUGGUGGAGAGCACAGACCUACAGGAAUGCAACACUGUCAUUGUUUUCUGCCCAAUCAACUCUCGUGUUAGGUCAGAUGUGAAGGCAGCCAUGGCUAAAGCACCAGGUAAUAAAGACAUCAUCCUGGUUGUGAUGCACCAUACCCGAAAGACAAACUACUCAACAAGUGGGACAGAGUGGUCUCAAAUAUUUCCAAAUGUAAUCCUGCAUGUUGAUGUUCUCUUUCAUGAGACUGAGAGAGGAUUACUGAGAUGUCCAAAGAAUGAACAGGCAAUCUGUCAGAUACAACAACAACUACAGAAACACAAUGAUAUUAGCGAACCAACCAACACUGUGGGAGAACAGAGUCAUUUGGCCCUGCCCCAAAGUCAGACUUCAUUAGGGCCAAAGAUGCAGGGAUCUAACAUUGCAGAUCGUCACUGUCUGAUUUUGUAGUAAGAUUGCUCGGACACUGACAAUGACAGAAACUGUGUUUAAUUGAGAAUAAUUUCAGCUGAGAUUUAAACUUUGCAUGAAAAAGGAUAAACCUAAAUAGUCUAAAUGAACAACAUAAUGCUUAUUACAAUGUUGAAUCUUUACAACAUGAGAUUUAAUGUCACAACCAAACAAAUGAAAAUGCUGAUACUAUAAGUGUUCAUAUCAAAAAGAAUGAUUGAAUAAACUCUCGUGAUAAUA